AGAAAAAAAAAAAAAAGAAAGGAAUAAUGAUUCUAACACUUGGACAUUUGAUAGAUAGCUUCAUGCAUCAUAACCCUCAAUGAUGCUCGCAACAGGCCCAAUGAAAGUAGAUAGACAUAUAUGCUAACACAAUAAAAACCGGAUCCCAAAUGCUUGCUUUUCACCCUUAUAAUGUCCAACAGUAUAAGGGAUAUUACAGAGUAGGCCUUUUGGUCAUUACUUAAAACCAAAAUGAUCAUUAAUAGUACAUCCCCGAUUUUACAUCAUGUCUUUUCAAUCCCAUUUAACUGCAUAAAUUACUUGUGCUAAAAAGUUCACCUGAGGCUAGCUUUCCAAAAAAGUUCUUGAAUUGUUGCUUAACUUACAUAGAGUGAUUUAAACCAUACAAUCGAUAAUUUAUGAACAGAAUUCAACUUUGUCACAAAACUUGGUACUUCUAACCAAUUGAAAAAAGGACAAUAACACCCUUUUACUUAUAAUGAAUAAAUGAAUUUUCAACCCCCUCAUUCAGCAAUAACCCUAUCAACAACUUCAAACUAAGUUGCUUAUAUGCUUCUAUGGCACAUGAGCAUCAGAAAUCAAAUCUUAGAAGCAUUAAUGUGUUUGAAAUCUUCAUGAAUGUUGGAAUUCAAUGCAAUUGAAUUUUAAUUGGUCCAAUUAUCGUGUUUGUUGGGAUUUCUCAAAAAUUCAACUCAUUUGGCAUAUGCACGAGUGGAGUCCACACUCAAAACAAAACACACCAUGUCACCAUGCCCCAUCUCAAUCAACCCAAAAUAAGCCUACUCAUCACUGACACCAAACAAUAGAAUUCAGCUGAAUUUCAUCACUUUAAAUUUAUUCCAAACAUAAGAAUAAUAUUAUAAAUUGAAUUGAAUUAUACUAAAUUUAAUUGAAUUGACUUCUUGCAGAUGAUUUGCUCCAAAGAAAUUUUAAAGGAUUCCAUCCAUACUUCAUCUAAUGACCCGUUUAAAUUAACGAUUUAAACAUCUCCAGUACUAACCAAAAGACGAGCGGGGGGGUGUGGGGGGGAAGCUGAUUGAAGAACAAAAGUAUUCAAUCAAUAGAGCAUGGAUAAGCAUACCAAGCUGGAUUUCAAUUUCUCCACAAACUCAUUAUUCUUCAAGCCCCCAAAAAUCUCCACGGACUCGCUCUUUUUCUCCAACU
rnacentral:misc_RNA from 1 species